rnacentral:rRNA from 1 species
ACCUUCGGGUGUGACUGCGUACCUUUUGUAUAAUGGGUCAGCGACUUAUAUUCUGUAGCAAGGUUAACCGUAUAGGGGAGCCGCAGGGAAACCGAGUCUUAACUGGGCGUUAAGUUGCAGGGUAUAGACCCGAAACCCGGUGAUCUAGCCAUGGGCAGGUUGAAGGUUGGGUAACACUAACUGGAGGACCGAACCGACUAAUGUUGAAAAAUUAGCGGAUGACUUGUGGCUGGGGGUGAAAGGCCAAUCAAACCGGGAGAUAGCUGGUUCUCCCCGAAAGCUAUUUAGGUAGCGCCUCGUGAACUCAUCUUCGGGGGUAGAGCACUGUUUCGGCUAGGGGUCAUCCCGACUUACCAACCCGAUGCAAACUACGAAUACCGAAGAAUGUUAUCACGGGAGACACACGGCGGGUGCUAACGUCCGUCGUGAAGAGGGAAACAACCCAGACCGCCAGCUAAGGUCC